rnacentral:rRNA from 1 species
CCUACGGGAGGCAGCAGUGGGGAAUAUUGCACAAUGGGGGAAACCCUGAUGCAGCGACGCCGCGUGAGUGAAGAAGUAAUUCGUUAUGUAAAGCUCUAUCAGCAGGGAAGAAAAUGACGGUACCUGAGUAAGAAGCCCCGGCUAACUACGUGCCAGCAGCCGCGGUAAUACGUAGGGGGCAAGCGUUAUCCGGAUUUACUGGGUGGAAAGGGAGCGUAGACGGUAGGGCAAGUCUGGAGUGAAAGGCGGGGGCUCAACCCCCGGACUGCUCUGGAAACUGUACGGCUGGAGUGCAGUAGAGGGAAGUGGAAUUCCUGGUGUAGCGGUGAAAUGCGUAGAUAUUAGACAGAACACCAGUGGCGAAGGCAGCUUACUGGACUGUAACUGACGUUGAGGCUCGAAAGCGUGGGGAGCAAACAGGAUUAGAUACCCCUGUAGUC